UUUCGUGCAUGAGCGUCAGUGCAGGCCCAGGGGAUUGCCUUCGCCAUCGGUGUUCCUCCGCAUAUCUACGCAUUUCACUGCUACACGCGGAAUUCCAUCCCCCUCUGCCGCACUCUAGCCUUGCAGUCACAAUGGCAGUUCCCAGGUUGAGCCCGGGGAUUUCACCACUGUCUUACAAAACCGCCUGCGCACGCUUUACGCCCAGUAAUUCCGAUUAACGCUUGCACCCUACGUAUUACCGCGGCUGCUGGCACGUAGUUAGCCGGUGCUUAUUCUUACGGUACCGUCAUGACCCGGGGAUAUUAGCCCCAGGCUUUUCGUUCCGUACAAAAGCAGUUUACAACCCGAGGGCCUUCAUCCUGCACGCGGCAUUGCUGGAUCAGGCUUUCGCCCAUUGUCCAAAAUUCCCCACUGCUGCCUCCCGUAGGAGUCUGGGCCGUGUCUCAGUCCCAGUGUGGCUGGUCGUCCUCUCAGACCAGCUACAGAUCGCAGGCUUGGUAAGCCUUUACCCCACCAACUACCUAAUCUGCCAUCAGCCGCUCUAGUAGCACAAGGCCCGAAGGUCCCCUGCUUUCAUCCGUAGAUCUCAUGCGGUAUUAGCUACUCUUUCGAGUAGUUAUCCCCCACUACUAGGCACGUUCCGAUGUAUUACUCACCCGUUCGCCACUCGUCAGCAUCCGAAGACCUGUUACCGUUCGACUUGCAUGUGUAAAGCAUGCCGCCAGCGUUCAAU
rnacentral:rRNA from 1 species